rnacentral:rRNA from 1 species
UGGAUGAUGUGGAUUAAUUCGAUGCAACGCGAAAACCUUACCUACCCUUGACAUGUCCAGAACCCUGCAGAGAUGCGGGGGUGCCCGAAAGGGAAUUGGAACACAGGUGCUGCAUGGCUGUCGUCAGCUCGUGUCGUGAGAUGUUGGGUUAAGUCCCGCAACGAGCGCAACCCUUAUCAUUAGUUGCUACGCAAGGGCACUCUAAUGAGACUGCCGGUGACAAACCGGAGGAAGGUGGGGAUGACGUCAAGUCCUCAUGGCCCUUAUGGGUAGGGCUUCACACGUCAUACAAUGGUCGGUACAGAGGGUUGCCAAGCCGCGAGGUGGAGCCAAUCCCAGAAAGCCGAUCGUAGUCCGGAUUGUUCUCUGCAACUCGAGAGCAUGAAGUCGGAAUCGCUAGUAAUCGCGGAUCAGCAUGUCGCGGUGAAUACGUUCCCGGGUCUU